AGCCUAAACUAGUGGUCACGCUGGCAUGGUGAAAAAGAUCCUUGGAAGAUACUGAACCCUACGUUCAGCGUUCUUCCAAGGACCGUACCUCGAAAGGGGUAUGGAUCCCGUAAGGGAUC
rnacentral:sRNA from 1 species